GUACCCUUAGCUCAGUUGGUCAGAGCAGACGGCUCAUAACCGUCCGGUCGUAGGUUCUGUCUCUUAUACA
rnacentral:tRNA from 1 species